AAAAUACGCUACUUGUUGUUUUUUAAUUUAAUUUAAUUUAAAACAAUUUUAUUGUUAACAAAAUUACAAAGAGUAAGAAUGCAGGAUACACUUAAUUAAACAAAGGGUAACCUUAUCACCAAAGUGAUCUCUUCCAAGUAACCCU